GUCGCCAUAGCGUAGCUUGGUAGCGUUAGAGACUGUGGAUCUCUAGGGCCGGGUUCAAAUCCCGGUGGCGGCC
rnacentral:tRNA from 1 species